rnacentral:ncRNA from 1 species
CACUUGGGACAAAUCUGCCGGAAGCAGAUUUGAACGCUGCUUGCAGCGGCCCCGAAGGGGCGAGGCCCACGGAUGGGCCGAGUAGCACACUGUGCG